AGGGAAUAUUGGACAAUGGGGGCAACCCUGAUCCAGCAAUGCCGCGUGAGUGAUGAAGGCCUUAGGGUUGUAAAGCUCUUUUACCCGGGAUGAUAAUGACAGUACCGGGAGAAUAAGCCCCGGCUAACUCCGUGCCAGCAGCCGCGGUAAUACGGAGGGGGCUAGCGUUGUUCGGAAUUACUGGGCGUAAAGCGCACGUAGGCGGCGAUUUAAGUCAGAGGUGAAAGCCCGGGGCUCAACCCCGGAACUGCCUUUGAGACUGGAUUGCUUGAACAUCGGAGAGGUGAGUGGAAUUCCGAGUGUAGAGGUGAAAUUCGUAGAUAUUGGGAAGAACACCGGUGGCGAAGGCGGCUAUCUGGCCCGUAAUUGACGCUGAGGCGCGAAAGCGUGGGGAGCAAA
rnacentral:rRNA from 1 species